AGAACGCAGCGAAAUGCGAUAAGUAAUGUGAAUUGCAGAAUUCAGUGAAUCAUCGAAUCUUUGAACGCACCUUGCGCCCCUUGGUAUUCCGAGGGGCAUGCCUGUUUGAGUGUCAUGUUUAUCUCAAACCGCUCGUCUUUCUUAAUUGAAGGGCUU
rnacentral:rRNA from 1 species